GAGUUUGAUCGUGGCUCAGAAUCAACGCUGGCGGCGUGCCUAACACAUGCAAGUCGAACGCGAAAGGGGCUUCGGUCCUGAGUAGAGUGGCGAACGGGUGAGUAACACGUGGGUGAUCUACCUUCGAGUGGGGGAUAACGUUCCGAAAGGAGCGCUAAUACCGCAUGACGUUCUGGGUUUAAAGACCUGGAAACCAAAGCCGGGGACCGCAAGGCCUGGCGCUUGAAGAGGAGCCCGCGUCCGAUUAGCUAGUUGGCGGGGUAAUGGCCCACCAAGGCGACGAUCGGUAGCCGGCCUGAGAGGGCGGACGGCCACACUGGAACUGAGACACGGCCCAGACUCCUACGGGAGGCAGCAGUAGGGAAUCUUCCGCAAUGGACGAAAGUCUGACGGAGCAACGCCGCGUGAGUGAUGAAGGCUUUCGGGUCGUAAAACUCUGUUGUUAGGGAAGAACAAGUGCUAGUUGAAUAAGCUGGCACCUUGACGGUACCUAACCAGAAAGCCACGGCUAACUACGUGCCAGCCGCCGCCGU
rnacentral:rRNA from 1 species